rnacentral:tRNA from 1 species
GAGAGUAUAGCUCAGUGGCAGAGCAUGUGCAUACUAUGCACAAGGCCCUGGGUUCAAACCCCAGUACUCCUA